rnacentral:lncRNA from 1 species
GUUAGUUCAGUUGAGAAAGCAUAUCUGAGACCUAAAAGGGGCUGCCCCCCAAUUCCCAAAGAGAAAGCCAAAAACAAAAGCUCAAGAAGAAAGAAAAGGAGGAAACUAAAGGAAUUGGAACAAUAACAACUGUAUAAGGAUGAGGGCUAGAGAGCUUCUUGUAGGGAUGAAAAGAUGAGGACCCAUUUCCCAUUUCUUCGAAGGAACUAAUUGAUGAACAGAGGCUUCAACUACUGAUCAUGGUGAUAAUGUUGGUGUGUCUCUCUAUAUCUAUGGUGUUUCUAUUUUUGUUUUUUUUUAAAAUUGUAUUUGUAGAUGUAAAAAAGAUGAUGGUUAAUUUUGGCUCCUACCCAUGAUGAUGAUGAUGAU